CCAGUCGGCCGGGUGGCCGCCGCUUACAAAGCGGAGGAAAGUCCGGGCUCCAUGGAGACACGGUGCCGGAUAACGUCCGGCGGGGGAAACCCUAGGGAAAGCGCCACAGAAAACAAACCGCCAAGAGGUUCAAACCUCGCGGCAAGGGUGAAAUGGUGCGGUAAGAGCGCACCGCGCGCAUGGCAACAUGAGCGGCAUGGCAAGCCCCACCGGGAGCAAAACCGAAUAGGGGCAACACAAGGCGUUUCUCGCCUGAGAAAAUCCUUAGAUCCGUCUCUGGAUCGUUGCCCGGGUUGGUUGCUCGAGGCGGCCGGCAACGGUCGUCCUAGAGGAAUGGCCACCACGCGCGCGAUCACUCGCGGGCCAUACAAAACCCGGCUUACAGGCCGGCUGGCGCC
rnacentral:RNase_P_RNA from 1 species